rnacentral:rRNA from 1 species
AGAAUCAACGCUGGCGGCGUGCCUAACACAUGCAAGUCGAACGAGAAAGUGGAGCAAUCCAUGAGUAAAGUGGCGACCGGGUGAGUAACACGUGACUAACCUACCUUCGAGUGGGGGAUAACCUAGGGAAACCUGGGCUAAUACCGCAUAACAUCUUUGGAUCGGAAGAACUGAAGAUCAAAGGAGCAAUUCGCUUGAAGAGGGGGUCGCGGCUGAUUAGCUAGUUGGCGGGGUAAUGGCCCACCAAGGCUUUGAUCGGUAGCCGGCCUGAGAGGGCGCACGGCCACACUGGAACUGAAACACGGUCCAGACUCCUACGGGAGGCAGCAGUGGGGAAUUUUGCGCAAUGGGCGGAAGCCUGACGCAGCGACGCCGCGUGCGGGAUGAAGGCCUUCGGUUGUAAACCGCUUUCACCAGGGCGAAGCGAGAGUGACGGUACCGUGGGGAAGAAGGCGCCGGCUAACUACGCGCCAGCAGCGC